rnacentral:rRNA from 1 species
UACAGAGGGUGCAAGCGUUAAUCGGAAUUACUGGGCGUAAAGGGCGCGUAGGCGGUUGUUUAAGUUGGAUGUGAAAGCCCUGGGCUUAACCUAGGACGUGCAUGCAAUACUGGACAGCUAGAGUACUGUAGAGGGCAGUGGAAUUUCCGGUGUAGCGGUGAAAUGCGUAGAGAUCGGAAGGAACACCAGUGGCGAAAGCGACUUCCUGGACCAAUACUGACGCUCAUGUGCGAAAGCGUGGGGAGCAAACAGG